rnacentral:rRNA from 1 species
GACGAACGCUGGCGGCGUGCUUAACACAUGCAAGUCGAACGGAAAGGCCCUGCGUUUGUGGGGUGCUCGAGGGGCGAACGGGGGAGUAACACGUGAGUAACCUGCCCUUGACUUUGGGAUAACUUCAGGAAACUGGGGCUAAUACCGUAUAGGAGCUCCUGCUGCAUGGUGGGGGUUGGAAAGUUUCGGCGGUUGGGGAUGGACUCGCGGCUUAUCAGCUUGUUGGUGGGGUAGGGGCUUACCAAGGCUUUGACGGGUAGCCGGCCUGGGAGGGUGACCGGCCACCUUGGGACUGAGAUACGGACCAGACUCCUACGGGAGACAGCAGUGGGGAAUAUUGCCCAAUGGGCGGACGCCUGAUGCAGCAACGCCGCGUGCGGGAUGACGGCCUUCGGGUUGUAAACCGCUUUCGCCUGUGACGAAGCGUGAGUGACGGUAAUGGGUAAAGAAGCACCGGCUAACUACGUG